rnacentral:rRNA from 1 species
CCUACGGGUGGCAGCAGUGGGGAAUAUUGGACAAUGGGGGUAACCCUGAUCCAGCGACGCCGCGUGAGUGAGGAAGUAUUUCGGUGUGUAAAGCUCUAUCAGCAGGGAAGAAACUGACGGUACCUGACUACGAAGCCCCGGCUAACUACGUGCCAGCAGCCGCGGUCAUACGUAGGGGGCAAGCGUUAUCCGGAUUUACUGGGUGUAAAGGGAGCGUAGACGGCUAGGCAAGUCAGGAGUGAAAGCCCAGGGCUCAACCCUGGGACUGCUUUUGAAACUGUGUAGCUAGAGUGCAUGAGAGGUAAGCGGAAUGCCUGGUGUAGCGGUGAAAUGCGUAGAUAUUAGGAGGAACACCAGUGGCGAAGGCGGCUUACUGGACUGUAACUGACGUUGAGGCUCGAAAGCGUGGGGAGCAAACAGGAUUAGAUACCCGUGUAGUC